CGGAUUUAUUGGGCGUAAAGCGAGCGCAGGCGGUUAGAUAAGUCUGAAGUUAAAGGCUGUGGCUUAACCAUAGUACGCUUUGGAAACUGUUUAACUUGAGUGCAGAAGGGGAGAGUGGAAUUCCAUGUGUAGCGGUGAAAUGCGUAGAUAUAUGGAGGAACACCGGUGGCGAAAGCGGCUCUCUGGUCUGUAACUGACGCUGAGGCUCGAAAGCGUGGGGAGCAAACAGGAUUAGAUACCCUGGUAGUCAAGGGCGAAUUCGC
rnacentral:rRNA from 1 species